ensembl:snoRNA small nucleolar RNA U109
CUACAUGUGGAAUUAUCUCCUCCCCAUUCCUUUAGGAGCAGGAAUGUGUCUGUAACAUGCUACAUUAACAGAGUUCUAGGACUGCUAUUUUAGUAGAGGUUGAGCAGUAGUAUAUUUCUCCUACAAAA